rnacentral:rRNA from 1 species
UACGAAGGGGCUAGCGUUGUUCGGAGUUACUGGGCGUAAAGGGCGCGUAGGCGGCGCACCAAGUCAGGCGUGAAAGCCCUGGGCUCAACCCGGGAAUUGCGCUUGAGACUGGUGUGCUUGAGUACGGGAGAGGAUAGUGGAAUUCCCAGUGUAGAGGUGAAAUUCGUAGAUAUUGGGAAGAACACCGGUGGCGAAGGCGGCUAUCUGGACCGUAACUGACGCUGAGGCGCGAAAGCGUGGGGAGCAAACA